rnacentral:rRNA from 1 species
GAUGAACGCUGGCGGCGUGCUUAACACAUGCAAGUCGAACGGAAAGGCCCAAGCUUGCUUGGGUACUCGAGUGGCGAACGGGUGAGUAACACGUGGGUGAUCUGCCCUGCACUUCGGGAUAAGCCUGGGAAACUGGGUCUAAUACCGGAUAGGACCACAUUUUGGAUGGUGUGGUGGAAAGUUUUUCGGUGUGGGAUGAGCUCGCGGCCUAUCAGCUUGUUGGUGGGGUAAUGGCCUACCAAGGCGUCGACGGGUAGCCGGCCUGGGAGGGUGUACGGCCCAAUUGGGACUGGAGUUAGGGCCAGACUCCCACGGGGGGGAAGAGGGGGGAAUAUUGCACCAUGGGCGGGAGGCUGAUGCAGCGAAGCCGGGGGGGGGGUGACGGGCUUCCGGGUGUAAACUCGUUUCGCUAGGGACGAAGCGGUAUGUGACGGUACCUGGUGAAGAAGCACCGGCUAACUACGUG